UGCCCGGCGCCGCCACCCCUCACCUCGCCGCGCCGCAGGCUGGACUCAUCGGGCUUGGCACCGAUGGCGACGGCCGACGCCGCCUUCCCUCACCACAGCGGACACAGACGGAUGUCUCUCCCCUGGUUUCUCACUGAACGACAGGAGCAGGUAAGCGGUCUCUUCUCUCCUUCCCAUCCUUGCCCCUAGCUCCCUGCACUGGCGCACACACACGCACCAAUUUGAUGGAUGGAUCAUGGAUGGAUGCUUGUAGUUUCGGUUGGAGGCCGCGGCUAGCUAGGAAAGAAGAUGGAUGGAUGCUAGACGAGUUUGAUGGAUGGAUGCUUGUGUUUGUUGGCUGGAGAGUGCAGCUAACUAGGAUGUAUGCUAUGCUGCACGAAUUUGAUUGAUGGAUGGAUGAAUUUGUUUGUGCUUGAUUGUGUAGACUGAUUAGUGAUUAUUAUCUAUGUAAAUUUUUGUUGAUGAUUGACCAUUUGUUCUUCGCUGAUGUAUGCAGAGCCCCACUGUGGCAACAAUGGACAAGGAAAAGGGGAAGGACAGUAGGAGGAGAAGGAGAGGAGCUUGGUGUCCAUUAUGAAGACUAAGCCGCUUGUCCCAGGAAGCAGAAGGGGAAGGGCAUGGGCAAGGGUUGUGUCGCUGC
rnacentral:lncRNA from 1 species